rnacentral:rRNA from 1 species
CUCGUAGGUGGCCAACUAAGUCAGACGUGAAAUCCCUCAGCUUAACUGGGGAACUGCGUCUGAUACUGGAUGGCUUGAGAUUGGGAGAGGGAUGCGGAAUUCCAGGUGUAGCGGUGAAAUGCGUAGAUAUCUGGAGGAACACCGGUGGCGAAGGCGGCAUCCUGGACCAAUACUGACACUGAGGAGCGAAAGCCAGGGGAGCAAACGG